UCUUUUGGCUUUGCUUCUAUAACCCUAUUCACUUCUGUCAGCAGGUUUUAUACUGGGCUGUGCAGUUCAACCUACAAACCAGUAGAUGGUGCUAAUAGUGUUUCCAAGCCGCUUCCCCAAGUUAGCUCCAGAGCUUGCGAGAAACAAAGUGCUCUCCCUCAGCCUGGGUUGCCUGGAUCCCAAGUGGAAAGCCUGUUCAUGGUGCUCAGAGUUGAAGCAGCCAUAGUGCAACCAAGACGCUUCCCUCCAUCAACACACCGAGGCUGGCAUAACAGAGAGAUGGA
rnacentral:lncRNA from 1 species